UACGUAGGGCGCAAGCGUUGUCCGGAUUUAUUGGGCGUAAAGAGCUCGUAGGCGGUCUGUCGCGUCGGAUGUGAAAAACCCGGAACUCAACUCCGGGCCUGCAUUCGAUACGGGCAGACUUGAGUACUGCAGGGGAGACUGGAAUUCCUGGUGUAGCGGUGGAAUGCGCAGAUAUCAGGAGGAACACCGGUGGCGAAGGCGGGUCUCUGGGCAGAAACUGACGCUGAGGAGCGAAAGCGUGGGGAGCGAACAGG
rnacentral:rRNA from 1 species